GAAGGAGACAGCUUUCCUGGGCAGAUAAUGCCUGGUUGCAAAGUUGCUACAAAUGCAGUUUCCAUGAUGAAGGCAGUGGAACUGAAUUCUUGCCUGUCUGCUGGUUAACCUGUGUAGAGAAACCAUGGGGACGUUCCCAUUGCCACUAUUUCUCCUUAGCUUAGCACCCAUCUGAAACACCACUGGUAGUUUGUGUGAGAGAGGUCCAAAGCCAAACUGAACCUACUUUAGAGCUCAGAUGCUUUGAGUGUAUCUUUAUAGUUGCUGUUUUCUUUUGUUGGCCAUGCAAAUGGCCAGCUUCUCAGGUGAUGUACGUUGAUGUCCUUUCUUGGAUGUCAACACAACAGUAGUGAUUUAUGUGGAAUCAAACUAUGACCUAGGAUCUACAUUUCCCACUCUCCUAAUUCAAGAGGCCUUAAAUUUCCCAACAGAAAAAUGAGAAAUCACAGGGAAUUCCUUCCUGUGUAUUUUUAUGGCCAUAAAUGAUCAUUGUUCUUCUUAAAUGAGCUUCAGACCAAAACUAUUGCGCGUGCAAAGGAUCUCCUUGUCUCUCUGCGGGAGAGCUCAUAUUAGCAAUAAUUACUCUCAUGAGUAAGAAUUUCUACACUGUGAUAUACAGUGAGUUGGCAACUGCUGUUAGAGCACAGAAUGAAGCCUGGGUUCGCUCAUAAACUUUAAUCCUUUAAAAUUUAACUGUUAGCAAAUGAAAGACCAAAUUAUCAGAUGGAUUUAUGUCAGCGCAGUGAGACAGAGCUCUGCAAAGCUCCGCUUUGUGGGGGCUGAGGAUCUGGCCCUUGCAAUAGCUGUUCUCCCCCCUCUAUCCUUUUCUCCGUGGUAUAAAUAAAUGAAAGGUGUCCUAAUCAUAUUUUAGACUGUGUGCAGAGUCACAUGCUAAACCAUAAUGUCUCUGUAUUAGAACAUGAGGAAUGAUAAAUGGAGAUAAAUCUAAAAUUUAUAGAACAUGAACAUUUGCAUAAACUGCAAUAUCCAAACAUAUAGGCUGUUAAGUAACAAUUGUCACAAAGGGCAUAAAAAAUUCAACUUUGUUUCAUAAAAAGAUCUCAAAUUCCUAACAUGAUUAAGAUAAUAUAUCAUUUGUUCCUAUCUUAUUAAAGGCGUAAUUGUUGUUAGACACAGAAGUGGCAUUAAGUCUAAUCUGGCUUUAUAUAUGUACAAAUAGAAGGGGAGGUGAAUGUGAAAAUUGAUGCUUUUGGUGAUCCAUAGGCAUUUUAUUAAUGUUUGAAUAAUAACUGCCUGGAGGGCCUGUUAUAAAUUAAAGGGACGAAUUGAGAUAUAAAUUUUUAUGAGGACUAGUUAUACAUUUCCAUUAUGUGUUUAAAAAUGAAGGAAUUACUGUGAACACAGCAGAACUCACAUUUAUUUGAGGUGAUUUGGAUGGAAGGGAAGGUGCACUGAAGGAAGCUGCAUGCUGGCUGUAAGAAAGAUGUAUCUGUCCCUUUGAAGAGAUAUAUCAUAUGUCAUGCAUGAACUCGGUUCUACAGGAGACUUUUCUCUGCAGCUGAUUUCGCAUGAUUAUUUAUUUGACAACAGCAAGUGAUGAUAUAGCAAUGAGUUUAGGCCACUUAGAGAAGAAUGCUUAUUCCUAAAUCACAGAGGAGUUCCCCAAACCCAACUAUUGUCAAACCAGAGUUAAUCUAAUAGAGGAACCCAGUAAUCUCUCUGGCACUUAUUUCUCAUUAUUCCUCCUGUCUGGAUAUACACAUCUUCAUUUGCAGUGCAUCCACCGGCCCUGCCGUGUAUCUCAGAGCUUCCUCCUGCCCGUUGUUGUGGCUGUUUGCAGGAGCUCAGCUCUCAUUGCUGGGUGGGCACCGUAUUCCCUUUGCUAUCCACCAGAGCAGAUAUCCUGUAAGAUCCACAGUUAGUCCCAUCGAUGUGCUUUUCCCAUGACAUGGAGGGUGAAGAUAACCCAGUAUCUUCAACGAAGCAGGCACUUUGGCCUGAGAAUACAUCUUUUCAUGACAGAGAGGGUGCAUUAUCCCAGUACUUAGGCAAUCACUGACUGUAUAGGGGAACUCUUUUCCACUUCCUUGUUUAUUGCUGCUGACCCCUGAGGGCGAAGCCUUUUAGAUCAAAUUCUUCAGGUUAUUUUGUAUUUAACCUUUAUUUAAAGCCUUUAUUUUUCUUGAUUUCGGUAGAUGCAAGAAAACUGAUAUCCCAGAGGUCCUGACCUAUUUUCUCUGUGCGGCAGUUCGUUGUCUAUAAAACAAGGAGACUCAAACAAGUGGUUUGAGGAGGAAAGUGUUCAUUGGUGUGAUGCUGAGAGAGAUGACAAUGUAAUGCCAUCUGCAGAUACGCCAGACCAACACAGCAGCUGUGCUACUGCAUUCUGGUGGUGUUUUAUGGCAAGACACACAGCACAGCGGUCUUCCAUUCUGCUGUCUUUCAUGUAAAUGAAUUAAUUUGCAAUUUUUUGUUGUUGCUUCUCCCAAGCACCACUCUAAUCAAGCUCACGAGGAUUAGGCAAGUACUUCCUGUUUGGACUAGGCCUGAUUCCUUGUGAAAUACGUUUAGCUGGUGCUCUUGGCUUGCAAAGGGCCCAAAAUCUUAAAGAAAUUGAUAAAACAUUGAGACUUAGCUCAGCUUCGGUUCUCAACUUUGAAGCAUCACUCUUGGCUCCACCAAUCAGGGAGAUCACUGUGUACACUCAGAGAACAGUGGCUGGGUAUACUUUGAUCUACAAGCAACAUUUAUUUUUUCCCCCAGGUGAGAAUGAGAAAAACGACAAAAUGUCUUCAUGGUUCUCAUUAAAGGUCCUACCUUUAGCAGCCCUUUGAAUCUGGAUCAGCUCCCCAGUCUUAAAAUUUGCAACCCUUCGAAUCAAGUUCAAGUGUGCCUUUCCUUCAAGGAUAGAACCAUGCUUGCAGCUAUCAUCGACCCCUGUGAUUCAAAAUACCAACACCACCACCUGGAAAUCCAUCUCAGAUGCCGCUCCUUCUUCAAGCAGAGUUUCCCACCUGUCUCAAACCAGGGGUUUUAGACAAUCAUGGAACUACCUGUGAAUAAUGCUGUGGUUCUGCUUCCUCCAGUGUGUCUUCAUAGGCCUGAUGUCAGCUUCUUUCUUGUGGAGACAAAGAAUGUCACCAUGAAUGUCCAUUGGCAAACUGGAUAAGAAGGAGUGUCACAGUGCAGGACAACCUAGAAAAUGACAGGUAUUUCCAGGCAUAGCAAUGAUGAGAUCAAAUUCCCCUCAACCUGCCUUGUUUGCUGAUCUUUUAAUCAGAUUCAACUUCACUGCAGCUACAGCACAAGGUUCCCUGACAAUGUAUGACAGCAUGUGACAGAAAAAUAUUUUGAUUUUGGUUUGUUUUUUGUUUUGGUUUUUUUUUGACCAUUUGAUGCUAUUUCAGAUAUAUCUGAAGCCCUGGCAGCAUCUGCUAAAUCUACCGAACUGUUUUAGUGGAGGUUUUUAUACUUGCAUAAUUGAACCAGAGGGUUUGGGGGUUGUGUUCAUGUGCGUGUAGGGGAAUCCAAACAGGAAAGCUGGGAAAUGAUCUAAACCCUUUGAGGUUAACGUGCCAUGAAAGAGCAUCAACGACCGAAGAGGACAUUAUUAAAAAGCAGCCAACCCAGCUCAAAAAGAACCACUGUGUGAAGCAAGAGCCUGCAGAACAACACCCAGGGCUGUUUGUGAUCCCACUGGGAUAUGUAUUUCAUCCCCUGUCUUCAUAUCUCCAGAUUUCCUCUGAACUGCUUCUGAGACGCAUUCUCGAAAAAGAAAAACACCAGCAACUACUGAAUGCCUCUUAUCAACCUUUUCCCCGCAAUCUGUUUCGUAUUCGUCUCACACCCUUGUUCUCGCAGUGUCUUGGGGAAAUGCUCGGAUCAAAGAUAAGAGAGAACAAGGAAAGGAAUGAAGCAAGAGGCAAACAACAAAACAAAACCACCCCCACCCCCCCCCCAAACUUUCUGACUAAACUUCUCUGCGAACCGUGUGCACGAUUACAGCACUGUUAAAACUGCCUUCUUCUUCGCCAGUACUUAAUUCCUGCUUUUAAAAUCAGGCUCCCUUUGAUCUUGAGGAUUGAAAUGAUCUGGAAAUGAAACAGCCAUUGCUUUGCAGAAAAUCUGGAUAGGGUCCCAGGCAUGGCUUUUACCUGGAAGGAUUCCAAAAUAGGAUGAAAUCUCUCCGGUUUCAGAACAAAUUGCAAGAUUUUUCUCUAUGUCUAGGCCAACUGUGGAACUCCAGCCCUGACGUCUGCUAGUUCCCAAAGCGCAGAUGUAAUAACCUCUAAGAGAUUUGGACUGCUCUUAUAGGAAUCAUAGAAUCACAGAAUCAUUAAGGUUGGGAAGACCAAUAAGAUCCUCUAGUCCAACCAUCAACCCAUGCCUGUGACUGCUCUAGACCAUGUCUCUCAGUGCCACAUGUCCGCAGUUCUUGAACACCUCCAGGGACGGUGACUCCACCACCUCCCUGGGCAGCCUGUGCCAAUGCAUCUCUUUCUGAGAAGUUUUUCCUAACAUCCAACCUGAGAACAGUUGUUGAUCAGGUUAUUGUAUCUGAAGGACAGCAGUCAGCAAGAAAGAAACCUCUCUCUCUGUAUGUAGUUCUCAGUGCACCAACUCUGACCUGGGAAUCAUAAAGGAGAAAGGAUGCCUGAACAUCAGUACUAAGCAGAAAAUGUGCUGAGAUGUCACAGUUUGCCAAGACAACGAGAAUCACUUUCCCUUGUAUGUAUUAUUACAGAACAGGGGAAUAAUUAUCUGCUUUCAUACAAGCUUUUUCCUUCUGCAUGAUUAACUUCACUGAUAUCAAUAGAGAGUGUGAUGACUCUGAAAUGACAGCUCCUGGUAGCACGUUCUGGGAUUAGCACAAACAGGUUGUCACUGUACCCCUGUUAGGAACAGUCAGUCUUGUCAUGCUGAGUGCAGGACAGAAAAGCCAGGCUGGGACCAGGCAUCUGCCACCACCCUGUCUGUCUUCAUGGGUGGCUCUCAGUUUGGGAUAUAGGGCUGGCUACUUCAAUGGGGCACAAUGGCCUUCAUGCAGACCCGCAGGAUGGCAGCGGAGAAGCUUCCAGAUCCAAAUCACCUGGUCAUCCUUGUGCUAAGGGAUGAGUUGCAGCCUAAAAUCUGCAUUCUUCAGCUCAUGGAAUGGUUGAAUGGAGAGGAAGGUCAGAGAUGCGAGAGAGCAAGUCGAGGUAUUAGUAUGAAACAACCAACCUAUCCUUUUACUAAAGUUGUAAAAGAAUCUGUCAUAGGUCUCCUGUGGAAAUUAAUCAAUGUAUGGAAAACUGGAUAACAACUAUGGGGACAACAGGAAUGUGCCUAUAAAUUAAAAGAAGCUAUUGUGAGCAUGCAGAGCUAUCUGGGGAAGGCACUGGGGCAGGAUAGCAGUGCUCAGUGGAGCUAGGACAGGGUCCACAUAAAGGGAUUCUUCAGUAAAGUCCAUACUUUGUCAAUGUCAAGAUACACGGGAACUGUAAAACAAAGCAAACUGUGUGCAUGGAAUGAAAAUAGAAAUUUAGUCCAUCAUCGUGUGCCUUUGAAAACGUCAUAAUCCUUUUAAAAAGAUGACAAAAUAUCUGUGUAUUUUUUAAGAAACGUAGCAGGUGAAAGGAUUCAUUCUCAAAAAUCCAUGAAGUGUACAGUGAUGAGUUAUUGAGGAUUGGGGGGGAGGGUGUUUUUGUAAUUCUGUAGGCAUCUCAGUCCUCUGGUGAAAUGAUGUAUGGGGCAAUCGUCUGGUAGGGGCUGAUGGGAUGUAAAUGAAACUAAUUAAGGAAAUGUCAAACAUAAUUAAUAAAACAGGUUUAAGUUGCAAAAGCACUGUCAGCUGAAUGAAUGGGGAAGAGUGUGGCAUUCCCAUUGUUGUGGGGCUUGCUUGCUUAUUUAUAUAUUUAUUUAUUUAUUCCUCGCUCACCCCCUUGGCCUCCCACCAGCUCUGCAGUUGCAUCAUUCAAUUAGAUCUCAGAAAGCUCUUGCUAGACGCUUGCAUUUCCUCCUUGCCCCCCUUCUGAGCAGGGGUCCCAUAGAAUAGGAGGAAUAUAAAUUUGCCCUGUCGAUUUGCAGCCUGGGAAGAAGAAGAAAAAAAUUAAUUGCUAACUCCUCAUCUUCCCUAAGUACUACAGGACAUUAACAUAACCAAUUUGCUUGAACUCCUCACUGGCUGCUUAAUAGAGCAUCUGACCAGCUGAUAAGACCUGGGUGCUGCUGCCUAUGAUACCUUGUUAUUAGCAUUUUCAUAAUAUUCAGAUAUUACAGCCCCAUGAUUCACUAGCCUCCAUUCAUUAUUGAUAAGUACAAAAAAUAAAUAAAAAGGGUUUAUAAAUUGCAAAAGGGGGUGAGCGACCUAUAAUUAUGGCAAGCAAAUUAGGGUGCAUGGUAGAGUCAGUUACAUUUGCCUAGGAGUAAUGAUGCUCAAGAACUUUUUCUCCCCAGGGACCAGAAAAAUAAUGGAUUCCCUGGCAGCUGCAGAUGGGCUAGGAAAGGCUGUCAUCCAGGACACUGUUUAUAUAAGUUAGGCUGAGCAUAUGGCUCUGCGUCCUGCCUGUAG
ensembl:lncRNA